rnacentral:rRNA from 1 species
AACGAACGCUGGCGGCAGGCCUAACACAUGCAAGUCGAGCGCGCCCUUCGGGGUGAGCGGCGGACGGGUGAGUAACGCGUGGGAACGUGCCCUUCUCUGCGGAAUAGCCUCGGGAAACUGAGAGUAAUACCGCAUACGCCCUUUGGGGGAAAGAUUUAUCGGAGAAGGAUCAGCCCGCGUUGGAUUAGGUAGUUGGUGGGGUAAUGGCCCACCAAGCCGACGAUCCAUAGCUGGUUUGAGAGGAUGAUCAGCCACACUGGGACUGAGACACGGCCCAGACUCCUACGGGAGGCAGCAGUGGGGAAUCUUAGACAAUGGGGGCAACCCUGAUCUAGCCAUGCCGCGUGAGUGAUGAAGGCCUUAGGGUUGUAAAGCUCUUUCAGCUGGGAAGAUAAUGACGGUACCAGCAGAAGAAGCCCCGGCUAACUCCGUG